rnacentral:tRNA from 1 species
GGAUCCCCGAAACCUGGAUCGAACAAGUGACCUUUCGAUGACAUGUAUACAAUUACAGUCGAACGCUCUUCCAGCUGAGCUAUUCGGGGA